UCGGCUUCAGCCUGGUGUAUGACCAUGCC
rnacentral:piRNA from 1 species